rnacentral:rRNA from 1 species
UACGGGGGGGGCAAGCGUUGUUCGGAAUUACUGGGCGUAAAGGGCUCGUAGGCGGCCAACUAAGUCAGACGUGAAAUCCCUCGGCUUAACCGGGGAACUGCAUCUGAUACUGGAUGGCUUGAGUUCGGGAGAGGGAUGCGGAAUUCCAGGUGUAGCGGUGAAAUGCGUAGAGAUGUGGAGGAACACCAGUGGCGAAGGCGACUCUCUGGGCUGUAACUGACGCUGAGGCGCGAAAGCGUGGGGAGCAAACAGG